UGACGGAAUGGGAGCGCACAUCACAAUGGGUGGGGCCUCUUCCAAGUCCUCCUGGGAGUCCAUGCAUGGUCCCAAGGCAUGGGGCAGAGGCCCCUCCAUCCCAGCCGAACAAGCCCAGGAUCAGGACUGACAGGUUCUCCAUGACAACCUGCAACAAGGACAAACGAGGAAGCAAGGAUCCCACGGCCGACGGGUGGGGCACCAGCACUGAAGCCAAGGUCGUGGGACGACUCCAGACUCCCGAGUCUUUCCCAGGGCCACCUGGCCUCCCCGAGGCUGCUCCUGGAAUCUGGCCUCUCUCCCCGAGCCUGGACGCCGGUCCUGCCUCACUUCUGCUCACUAAUGCACUCUCUGCCUCCUCCUCCUUUUAGAUGCACUGGCUCAACCAUGCCCUUGGCGAUUCCCUAUAAAGAUAAGAGCACAUUUCUACA